GACGGAGGGGGCUAGCGUUGUUCGGAAUGACUGGGCGUAAAGAGCGCGCAGGCGGUCGUUCAAGUCGCGUGUGAAAGCCCCCGGCUCAACUGGGGAGGGUCACGCGAUACUGAUCGACUCGAAGGCAGGAGAGGGUAGUGGAAUUCCCGGUGUAGUGGUGAAAUGCGUAGAUAUCGGGAGGAACACCAGUGGCGAAGGCGACUACCUGGCCUGUUCUUGACGCUGAGGCGCGAAAGCUAGGGGAGCAAACGGG
rnacentral:rRNA from 1 species